rnacentral:misc_RNA from 1 species
AAGUCGUAACAAGGUUUCCGUAGGUGAACCUGCGGAAGGAUCAUUAACGAGUUUUGAAGUGGGCUUGAUGCUGGCUUGUAACAGAGCACUGUGCUCAGCCCCGCUCCAAUCCAUUCAACCCCUGUGCACUAUUCGGAGUGUUGCAAGCUGAGACAAUGUGGGGAGUGGUCCCGGUUGUAUUUCUAAUGCGACUUGGCGGCUUACUUUCAAACGGUCAAGGCUUGUCCUCCGGUUUAUAUUACAAACACUUUUAUUGUCUUGUCGAAUGUAUUAGCCUCUCGUUAGGCGAAACUUAAAUACAACUUUCAACAACGGAUCUCUUGGCUCUC